GGUAUAGACCCGAAACCCGGUGAUCUAGCCAUGGGCAGGUUGAAGGUUGGGUAACACUAACUGGAGGACCGAACCGACUAAUGUUGAAAAAUUAGCGGAUGACUUGUGGCUGGGGGUGAAAGGCCAAUCAAACCGGGAGAUAGCUGGUUCUCCCCGAAAGCUAUUUAGGUAGCGCCUCGUGAAUUCAUCUUCGGGGGUAGAGCACUGUUUCGGCUAGGGGGUCAUCCCGACUUACCAACCCGAUGCAAACUACGAAUACCGAAGAAUGUUAUCACGGGAGACACACGGCGGGUGCUAACGUCCGUCGUGAAGAGGGAAACAACCCAGACCGCCAGCUAAGGUCCCAAAGUCAUGGUUAAGUGGGAAACGAUGUGGGAAGGCACAGACAGCCAGGAUGUUGGCUUAGAAGCAGCCAUCAUUUAAAGAAAGCGUAAUAGCUCACUGGUCGAGUCGGCCUGCGCGGAAGAUGUAACGGGGCUAAACC
rnacentral:rRNA from 2 species